UUCCGGUUGAUCCUGCCGGACCCCACUGCUAUCGGGAUAGGACUAAGACAUGCAAGUCAAGCGCUUUCUAGCUAAUGUGAGAGCGCGGCGUACAGCUCAGUAACACGUGGCCAACCUGCCCUUGGGACGGGAACACCCCCGGGAAACUGGGGUUAAUUCCCGAUAGGUGAAGAAGUCUGGAAUGACUCUUCGCUCAAAAGACGUUUAUGUCAUGCUCAUAUUCGUCGCCCAGGGAUGGGGCCGCGACCGAUCAGGUUGUUGGUGAGGCAAUGGCUCACCAAGCCUUUUACCGGUGCGGGCCGUGAGAGCGGGAGCCCGGAGAUGGGCACUGAGACAAAGGCCCAGGCCCCACGGGGCGCAGCAGUCGCGAAAAUUUUGCAAUACACGAAAGUGUGACAGAGCUAUCCCGAGUGCCAUCCGCUGAGGAAGGCUUUUACCCAGUAUAAAUAGCUGGGAGAAUAAGGAGAGGGCAAGUCUGGUGUCAGCCGCCGCGGUAAUACCAGCUCUCCGAGUAGUGUGGACGUUUAUUGGGCCUAAAGCAUCCGUAGCUUGCUAGAUAAGUCCUCUGUUAAAUCCACCGAUUCAAUCGUUGGAUUGCGGGGGAUACUGUUUGGCUAGGGGACGGGAGAGGUCGACGGUAUUUCCGGGGUAGGGGUGAAAUCCUAUAAUCCCGGGAGGACCACCAGUGGCGAAGGCUGUCGACUAGAACGCGCCCGACGGUGAGGGAUGAAAGCUGGGGGAGCGAACCGGAUUAGAUACCCGGGUAGUCCCAGCUGUAAACGAUGCACGCUUGGUGGUUUGGGCGGCCACGAGCCGCCCUAGUGCCGCAGGGAAGCUGUUAAGCCUGCCGCCUGGGGAGUACGGCCGCAAGGCUGAACUUAAAGGAAUUGGCGGGGGAGCACCACAAGG
rnacentral:rRNA from 1 species